GCGGGCGUGGCGGAAUGGUAAACGCAUCAGCCUUAGGAGCUGACGCCAAAAAGCUUGUAGGUUCGAAUCCUAUCGCCCGCA
rnacentral:tRNA from 1 species